rnacentral:lncRNA from 1 species
GCAUGUUGCAGAGUGCUGUGUCUGGUCAUGAGUGGCUGCUGAGCUGUUGGGAGUCUGGUCAGCAGGAGAAGGGCCAGAACAACCUGAAGGAGACGAGACAACUCUGCCUUCUGUGUGUAGGCUGGCCUGGAGGUUGGAGGAGGAGGAGUGAAGAUUUCAGUUAUGGUAAGAACUGUUAUCCUCUUUAUAAUAAGAGGAGGAAAGGCACAGCAGACUGACACCUCUGCUUGUCCAGAAGGAAGCUGGACCAACAAACCCAGGCAGUGACACCAGAAGAAAACCCUCCCUGGCAGGUGGACAGACCACAGGGCUUAGUCACCCUAUGCCUCUACACAGGACGCUUCCCCUCAGCUCCACUAACAGCAGCCCAUGGGCUGGCAAAGAGGUGCAGGCAGUUGACUCUGGAGGGGGAAAUAUUGUCUGAAGGAUGCAGACAGAUGAGCAAAGUGAAACGGCAGCUGCUUUCUUAUCACUCUGCAUGUCCGUACAGGAAAUAUGGCAAAUACAGCUGUUCUGGGAAGUCCUGGCCAAACAUGGAGAGUCAGUCUUUGAGGAUACUGGGCUUCAUUUUGAAUUGUGAUGGAUUUCAAGGAGUGACUUCGAGGAUCACAACUCCAUGGACAAUGGCUGUGAAUUUAUAUCUGGGCCCACGACGCUGGGAGAACUGCCCCUUGGACGAACUACAGGCUGGCUUGGAAGGACGGCUCUUCCCCUCUUGUACCACAGAGCUGGAAAGUCGAACUGCCACCUUAUGUCCAUCACUGCUGCCCAUAAUACUGGACCCAAACGAGCUCUUUUGGUGCUAGCAGACGAAGUAAUGCUCCCAGAGACUCCUGGCCUGGGAGAUUAAUCCUGUCUGAAAAGCCUUACACUGGCCACUCAGAAAGGUGGUGGAUGCCCCAUCCCUGGAGAAAUUCAAGGUCAGGCUGGAGGGGCUCUGAGCACCCUGAUCUAACUGUAGUGUCCCUGUUUAUUGCUGGGGAGUUGGACCAGAUGGCCUUUAAAGGUCCCUCCUAACUCAAACAGUACAAUGAUUCUAUGACUUCUGACUUCAGAGCCCAGUGGGCCAAAGGCUGCUGGUGGCAGAGCAGAGGCAGCAGUCCUGGAAGA